ensembl:misc_RNA
GAGGACAAGCACAUCACAAGCAGCAACAGUGCAAGCUUUCCCCAAACCAUCCCAGCCACAUGCUUCAAUGUUUAUCCAGAGGGAUCACCUCUAGA